rnacentral:rRNA from 1 species
GACGAACGCUGGCGGCGUGCCUAAUACAUGCAAGUCGAACGAACCGCGACUGAGUGCUUGCACUUGGUCAAGGUGAGUGGCGAACGGGUGAGUAACACGUGGGUAACCUACCUCAUAGUGGGGGAUAACGGUCGGAAACGACUGCUAAUACCGCAUAGGACAUGGAAUCACAUGAUUCUGUGAGGAAAGGUGGCGCAAGCUAUCGCUAAGAGAUGGACCCGCGGUGCAUUAGCUAGUUGGUAGGGUAAGGGCCUACCAAGGCGAUGAUGCAUAGCCGACCUGAGAGGGUGAUCGGCCACAUUGGGACUGAGACACGGCCCAAACUCCUACGGGAGGCAGCAGUAGGGAAUCUUCCGCAAUGGACGCAAGUCUGACGGAGCAACGCCGCGUGAGUGAAGAAGGUCUUCGGAUCGUAAAGCUCUGUUGUUAGAGAAGAACAGCGCAUAGAGUAACUGUUAUGCGUGUGACGGUAUCUAACCAGAAAGCCACGGCUAACUACGUG